UGUUGUAUGGAAACUAAUUUGACAAUAAAUUUCAUAUAAUAAAAAAAUAAAUAAAAGUAAAAAAAUUUUUUUUAAUAAAUUCUCAGUUUAUAAUAAUUUUUAUCAAUGUAACAUCAUUUUUGUCAUUAUAUGAGCUAACCUAAUAAAACUCAUCUAAGAGACUGUAAUCACUUGACUUUGAGAAUCUUCAAGGAUUUGACUGGAAGCUGUCUUCCACAAAGAAUUCUUCCUAAACGAGACCAUGCCCAAUUCAACUUUAGAAGAUGCCUAUUAAGUAAUGGGGAAUUCUACGUACUAAGGUUCAGAGCAAAAGAAUGAAACAAUGCAAACAAGACCAAAGAACUCUUUGUCCCAGAGGCUUGUAAAACAAGCUGAAAUCCAGUAGGCUGGAAGCCAUCUCCCCACCUCCCAUCUCUUCCCACAUCAGAUUCCAACAAGAGAAAUUCUCCCUCUGGGAAUUUGUUGCCACCACCAUCUUGCAGCACAGAAAACUCUGGCUCCCUAGUUCUCACGGAGGUGAGGCCGAAGUAGAAUCAUCUGCUAUCAAGAGCUGUAAUCAAAAUGGGAGUUCUGCCAUGGCAGCUUUACAUAUGAGGGAGAAAUUCGUAAGUCAGCCACUGAAUUUCAGAGGCUGCUUGUACUCUGAUUCAGCAACAUUCUUGUGAUGGGAAACUGCCGCACAGAGAAUUAAGGUGCUCACUGUGAAAUAACAGAAACCUCAUCAUGUCCAGUGGGUACAAUGGGUCAUCUGUAGUGCACGCACAUAGCAGGACACAUACAGCAGGAGCUCAACGGCCAAAAGGUGUGGGGAGGGAAGGCGGGAGAAGAAAAAAUUCAAACCCACAUGAUCUGCUGGGGUCUGCAAGAGCACAGUAAAAAAGCACCUCUCCUUACCCUAGUCCUCUCAAAGUACCCUAUCUGAUGAGAUCUUCCCCUUCUUUUAAGAGUCAAACAAAGUGCUGCCAUCUUUGAGAGGCUUUCCUUGAAAACCCUAAACAGGGUUGGCAGUUUCCAUCUGUGUUCCAUUAGCACCCUGUAUUAAUUAUUAGAGCGCUUAUUAAAUCGCUACAGUUUAUUUACAUUUGUUUCCCCAGUAGAUACCUCCUCAAGUAAUGGAAUAUUUUAUUCAUCUUUGUAUUACCAGUACUUCGGACGGUGCCUGGCACAUGCAAGAGUCCAAUAAGUAUUGGUUAACGAAUGACUGUAUGGAUUUCUUCAAAUAUUGAAAGAAACAGAAAAAGUAAAAAUCAAAUGAACGGCUCCCAAAUGAAUUAAUUUGCCGGUCUUGCUACUAGGAAAAUGGGAUUUAAGCAUGAAACCUCCAAGUGGCCUUACCAGUAGAUCUGAAGGCACUGAAUAUCUAAGGUAGACCAAUUCAACAGUGUCCCUUUCCAUCACAUUUCUAAAAAGUUAUAAGGAAUACUCUUUCCUGGGCAUGCAAAAUCCUCAGUAAUGGGUAUGUAUGUUGUAUUUGGCAUUUCUGACGUCUAAAGAAAUAUUUAAGUCAGACUGAACAUAUAUGCAGGGUUCAGCAAUAUUCAGAAGAAAAACUAUCCGAUUCCUUCAGGGGAAAUAAAGGGUUCCACCAUGUUCUGAUCAUAAUUAAGGAAAUAAAACUGAAUUAAAGCCCCAAUGCAGACGAAAUCAGAAGGGUCCUUUGGGCUAGCCACCAAAUGAAUGGUUCACUGGAGUGGGAACAAGCACAGUCCCUAAAUCCCAACAUCUUAAGAGAUAAAGAUAAUGGAAUGCUACAGCAAUAUAAGACAGGUAAAAUAGCUGAUAUGUCUUUGGAAGUUAACCUAACUUCUUUCAGGCAGUUGGUGAGAACCUACAUUAAAGCAUGAGACUAAGAAACAAAGAAGUGUAUCACUGCCUAAAGUAAAAUUUGUUUUAGUGGCUGUUUACCUAAUCUUGCAAAAGUAUUACACUUUAUAUUCACAAUUUAUUUCCUCAAAUCAUAACACUAGAAAAGACCUUAAAAAUUAUCAACUCAAGCCCUCUAAUCUUACAAAUAAGGAAAUCGAGGUUUACAAAGGGCAAGUGACUUGCCCAAGGUCAUACUGGUAAUCAGAUGCGGAGUCUGAACUCAAACUCAGUAUUUGUCUCCCCAAC